CGUAGGGGGCGAGCGUUGUCCGGAAUCAUUGGGCGUAAAGAGCGUGUAGGCGGACUGGAAGGUCUGGUGUGAAAGCCCGGGGCUCAACCCCCGGAGGGUCACUGGAAACCAACAGUCUUGAAUCUGGAAGAGGAGAGUGGAAUUCCUGGUGUAGCGGUGGAAUGCGCAGAUAUCAGGAGGAACACCGAUGGCGAAGGCAGCUCUCUGGUACAUGAUUGACGCUGAGACGCGAAAGCGUGGGGAGCGAACAGGAUU
rnacentral:rRNA from 1 species